rnacentral:rRNA from 1 species
GUACACACCGCCCGUCACACCAUGGGAGCCGGGAAUGCCCGAAGUCGGUGACCCAACCGUAAGGAGGGAGCCGCCGAAGGCAGGCCUGGUAACUGGGGUGGAAGUCGUAACAAGGUAGC